GUUCUCACCACUGAUUAAACGGCACCGUAUCUAUGGGACCGUAACGAUGCCGUCUAAGUGUCUAAAUGAACGAACAUGAUACCGGUGCAGAGAUGCCUGAUGGGUCUCGUUGAGCUUUCCAUUGUUUCAAUUGCAGUGGCGGUGAACGGUGAUUGGUGACUGACGCUACUACUGCUAAUUAACAGUGAAGAAGUUUGAGGGGGGAAUAAUAAAUGUCUAGGUUUCGAGCACUUUGGCAAGCUUCUUUGAAUGCAACAAAGAAAGGUAUUGUAUAGUUACUUCUAUGAAUAUGUUGUUGUAUCUUAUGGAAAAAUAUUGAAGCUUUCAGUUUAGUAUAUCUUGUGUGUGUAAGAAUAUUGGGAAUUGCAAUUUUCAUCUCGAGUCCUUGAUGGAUGUGUCAUAGUGCUGUUUCAAUUUUGCGAGAGAUGCUCCUAGGACAGCAAAGGUGAAUCUUGAAAACUCAAGUUACCAGGUUAAGACUCUUUACGAAUUUAUAUUAUUCAGAAGGGAUCACUCUGAUUUAAGGGAGCGCUCUGAUUUUAAAUUUACUAGCAUGGAAAAGAUUCAAUGGAAGAAGUGUGGGAACGAAUUGUUAAGGGGUUUAUUUUGCCUUGUGAAGAAUUUUGUAGCCUCACGAAUUUGGGAAGGAUAUAUUAUGCAGUUUGUGAUGGCAAUGUGCUUUUUCCAUUUAUAUCCAUUGUCAACAAUUAGUGAUUCCAAUCACUGUAGUAGUCAACUUGCAAGUGGAACUAGUUGAACCAACCCUUAUUACUGUUGUGAGAUCCAUUCUGGUUUGAUCAUUUGUCUUGGAAAAUCCUAGUUAUGGAGCAGAGGUGAAGGAAGAUGCAAUUUAAAACUUUUGGCUGAUCAUGAUGCAAUGAGCUAAUUCAGUUAGUCAUCGUUAUUUUCUCUGACUUGAGCUCCAGUCUAUCCUAGUGGUGAAAAGGAAGUGAAGUAAAAUGUAGUUGCACUAGUCUAUACAUCAUGCCAGUAGUAUUAGCAGUGGCUUACUUGAUGAUGAGAUACAUUUUAAUGUGACAUUUUAAUAAUGUUAUAAAUGGAAGAAGUUGCAGUGCUGCUUCAACCCAUGAGAAACAUAAAAAAUGAUUUGAGAAAAUUAAUUGAUAGGAUCCAUGUUUAUAUUCCUCAUUCCUCCUUUCAUUUCAUUAAAAGAAAUACAUCCUUUCACUUGAAUAAGUUAAACCCAACACACUAGCUUAUAGACUGUCUCCUUUUCUCAUGAGAGGUUUCUCCUUUUUUCUAUUUUCAAAUUAUUUUUCAGUCCAAUGUGUUUGAUUCUCAUCAUGCAUGGUUCUUUUGCUGUCCUUGUAUAUGUGUAUGUAUAUAUAUGUGUGUGU
rnacentral:misc_RNA from 1 species